GCUGAACAGUUGUGCAGCUAAGCUCUCUCUUCAACUCUUUACCCUUUGGGAAGCCAGUGUGUUACCACUUAUUUAGCCAGCACAGUCCAAAUUCAAAGAAGAUGGAGCAUUUAUCCCUUAUAUUCCCUCAUGCUCAUGAAGACCUGGCAAUGCAUAAUGAAGGACUUGUCUGCUUUGAAAUAGGAAUCACAAUAAUGAAAUCAACUUGUCGCUCACGUUUUACUUAUCACAAUGGAAAAUUGGGAAUGGUACUUCUCUUACUUCAAUCUUACCCUGAUAUAACUUAACUUAAUAAAAAUUGACUUUUCCGUUUCA